rnacentral:lncRNA from 1 species
AUGAAAGAGGAGGCUGAUCAUCUUGGGUAAUUAGCCCAAUAGCUCCUCGUCGGGCAGCAUGGAAAUUGGUCUUGUUCCUCCUACCUGUCAGGUUGACUUUCCUUCAUGGUGGGCACAUGGACAGGUUUUCUCAAAUCCCUGACAGGUUCAUAUGGGCAUAGACCACCCUUUAGUUAACUUGGUCUCAAAAUGUUGUGGGCCUUAAAGGACACUGCUAGAACUUUUAUCUGGGGGCAGAAGCAUGCAGCAAGCCAGGACAUCUGAUGCAGAAUGGGUAGAAUCUUGUGUAUUCUCCAAAUGUUGUAAUGCAAUCCCGUCACCAAAUAAUGUGUACAAAAAUGCAUGAAUUAAGGGGAAGUGUGCAUAAAAAUGCAUAUAUUGGUGAAAAUAACAUAAAAAUCCAUUAUAUUAGAGACAAUUGCUAGCAUAUGGGGCAAAAAUGCAUAUAAAAUGUUUAUAGUAGGAUAAAUUUGCACUAAAAUGCUGGUGAAUUUUCAUGAGGACUGUUUAAUAAAAUAAAAUAAAAUCACAGUCUGAUGCAGAAAUAUGGAGACACCAAGACUGAUGGAUUCACCCACCCUUAUAUUCUACACUGAGUUGGAGGGUUAACAGUUGUGCUUGUAGAUAGGCCAGUGUGAGAUCCACAGCAUUCUUACAGCAGAAGUUUUUAGGGCCCAGAAUGGGAUUGCUGAGAUUUAGGGAAGAAACAUAUUCACCUUUAUGCAUGAAUUAUUGUAGCACAGAAAACCUAGUUUAUAGCGCAGGCAAGUGAAGCCUUGGAAUAUGGAUCAGCCCAGCGGCCUUGUGUCCUUUCAUCGGGGCCUGAUAAGCAUAAUUACAGCAGCCACCUCAGAAAGGCUUAAUUGAGGCUUAAUUAUGUGGGAUUUAAUGAAAUGCAUCUGACAAACUGCUUGAAACCCUCUGGCAAGAGAUGGCAAAUAAGUGCUUAUGAAAAAUCCACUGCUGGAUUUGAAGAUAAUUGUGAGAAGGAUAUAGAAAGCCCUGUGACUUAAUACCUGCACAGUUCUGAUUUAUGCCUUCUUCUGAAGAGGUUAUAUUACAGAGAGCUCAGACUAUGAAAUUAUUAGACUAUCACAGAAUGCAAGUUAAGCAAAGAGACAGAGGGGUUUUUUCAAGCGGGGUGUGUGUGCCUGUGCUGGCUGGGAAAUUAAUUCUUAGUUCAGCAAAAUAAGUUUCAGAUAUUGUGACAAGACCCUAAUGCAGCCCUGUGCCUUGAAAAAAAAAAGUUUAAAUCUUUAUAAAUCAAAGUGUCUUUAGUGAAUUUUGUGAACUUACAUGAAAAGGAAAACAAAGAACCACCCCCCACAAAAAACCCACUUUAUGUGGAAAGGAGAAAAUAUUAAGGUAUAGAAUGUCUUACACAUGCUAACAUUUCUCCACUAUUUUACACCUCGAUUUUAUGACUGUUUCAUGUAUUUCAGAGGAGGAAACCUGAGCUUUCCCUCCAAGGAGGCACUCAGCAGAGAGCUCUAAUCUAUCACCACUCCUGGAUGAAUUUACCAGCAUGAUGCAUGCACUUGCAAACUUGUGAAUGUUGCACACUUCUGGCUGAAUUUAUCUGCACCGUGUAUGGACGUGAUUUUUUUCACCCACACUUAACUGGGGGUGGGUUUUUUGCACAUUCAGAGAAAGCUGUGAGUGGAGUGGGGGGUCCUUUCCCCCUUCCUCUAGACUCCCUGGGAAACUCAACAAACCAGUUGUACCUGGAACUGGGGGUGGAGAGUGAAGCUGAAUGGGGCAGGGCUGUGGGCAACCUAAGGUAGUACCAUCCACCUUGGCCCUGCCCUUAAAAAGUAAGUCUAGCGUUAGGAACUAGAGAGAUGCCUGCCAUUUCCAGGAUGUCUUCUCACUGUGAGACUUUAAACUGUCUGUUGUUGCUUCAGUUUUUUGUACACCAGUUACAUAUAUUUUUUAUUUUACUGCUCUUGUUUUUAAUUUUUCAUAUUUUGCAUGGAACACUGGGCAUGAAUUGUUUGUUUCCCACCAUGUCUCUCUCCCCUGUACAUUACCAAUGAAUAUCUGUGCAGAAAUCUUUCCAUAUUUGUUCUAUGCAUUAUUGCAUUGAUCUUUUAAUUGAUGUUAUGUAUGUGUGCUUUCCCUUUUAUUCAUAGGUAAAUCACCCCACUGCCCAAACAGCAAAUUAGAUGAGAAUGCAUGCACAAUAUAUAUCACAGAAAUUUUGCUUGUUUGCAAUGGUUUAUCCACACACUGUGUGUAUGUGUGAAUUAAUGAGGGAGGGGGGUUGUGAAGGAACUGGAAGUUGUUUGUUUUGCAAACUUCCAAUCCACCAAUUACAGAAUUGAUUUUGGAAAUUCCUUCUAGGUAAACCAGGAUUCAAUCAUCUCAUCCCAUGAAGCCCUAGUGUAACAUCUGUCCUGGGACAGCAGUCAAAACACUUCUCUGGUGCAGCAAUUUUCUCAAAUCAGGUUGCAAGAAUCAUAGACUCAUGAAGUAAAAAUCAAAAAAUCAAAACUGGCAUUGACCUCGCAGGUCAUUUAGUAGGACUUUCUGCCCUUAGGCUGUAUACCCUUUAGCUAAAUCAUUCCUGACAGGUGCCUAUGGAGACUUUUCUUAAAAUACUCCAAGGGAGGGCAGUCAGCAGCUCCACAAGGGAUCUCAAUCCUUGCAUUGCAGAAAGGGACUUAAAAUAAGUAAACUUUCCCCCUGUCUUCAAGUUUGCAAUCAUAAAAGUGCAACCCUAUGCAUAUGUUUACUCACUGAGUUCAAGGGAACUUUCUCCCAGGAAAGUGUACAUAGAAUUUGCAGCUUAAGGAUCACACUGACACAAUACAUUUAAAGCACAUUUAUAUCACUUCAAUGGUUAUGGCUUACCCUUACAGAGAUUCCAUUCCUAGGAUUCUUUGGGGGGGGGGAGUGCUGCAAAUUAAAUGUAUAGUGUGGGUGUGUGUUGAUCAAGACCACUCUCUUUGUGUGUGUUUGUGUUCAUAUAAUCAUCAGUGGAUACACCAAACAAUUGUUUUCCUCAUCUUCUUCCUGACAUCCUAUCUUUCCUAGACUCCAAAAGCAGUUAAUCAAGAGGUGGGAGAGGAGGGGGGGAAAGAUUGGGAGAGACAGAGAAAUUGAGGACAACAGCUGAGGACUUAGGAAGGACAUCCGUCAAUCAAAAGAGACUCUUUGAAGCUAAUCUGUAGGGGUUUCCCCCCCCCACUUUGCUUUUUUCACUUCAAAUAUUGCCUGCCUCCCUUCUGUAUGCGAUGCAUAACAAACAGCCAGAAAGUCAUGUUAUUUCCUUCUCCUAAAGCACCACUAUAAAUUAAAUCAGUGUCUUUUAGAAAAAUUGUUGCAGGAAACAUAUGCUUAGGCAAUGGUGGCUGGUGCCCACUGGGAGUGGUAGGUCAGAAGGUAAAAAUGUCAACAGCAGGUGGAGCCAGAGCCAAUGACAGGCGGAGCCACCUGCUGACUGGUUAUGAGUCAGAAGGCAGGCAAGUGGAGGCUUGGCCUGAGAGAGGACAGGUUGUGGGCCUUUGCUUUGUUUGUUUGUUUGUUUGCUUGCUUGCUUGCUUGCUUGCUGCCUUUCCCCCCAAAGGUGGCACACAUGGUUCUCCCCCUCCUCAGUUAAUCCCUAAAACCAUCCUGUAGGGUAUAUGUUAGGCUAGAAGAAGUCGCCCAGUAAGCUUAGGGACUUAAGCUAUGGUCUCCCAGGUCCUAGUCCAACACUCUCUACACUGGACAGCCAGUGUGGUGUAGUGGUUAAGAGCAGUAGACUCGUAAUCUGGUGAACCAGGUUGGCUUCCCUGCUCCUCCACAUGCAGCUGCUGGGUGACCUUGGGCCACUCACACUUCUUUGAAGUCUCUCAGCCCCACUCACCUCACAGAGUGUUUGUUGUGGGGGAGGAAGGGAAAGGAGAAUGUUAGCCGCUUUGAGACUCCUUUGUGAUAAAGCGGGAUAUCAAAUCCAAACUCUUCUUCUUCUACACCACAUUGGACCAAAUGGACCAGCUCCCACUGUGUUUAUGGGUAUGAGGGGAAGAAAUGCCAAGGGUAUUGAGCUGUAAGCAGAUCAAGAGGAUCCUCUUGAGCGGAAUCAAGUUUGAUAGAACACAGCAGGAUACAUUUUUAAGCAGAUUGUGUAGGGUUGCCCUGAUAAAUGUGCUUCCAGUUUUCAGAGCCAGCUUCAAAAUCCUAGAAUGUGACAUUGAAGUCUCAGAUCUUGAAAAUGUUCAGGCUAUUCUGGUCCAGCUUGUUAAAAGCUGGUUAUUUUGAUGAUUGUUUUGAACUGCAGGAAUCGCAUCGCUUGGGUAAUAGCAUAUGUUUCUCUUCUUCCCCUCCACACCUGAUGAUCCCUGCCAAAGCAAUGCUGUUUUAUUGUCCCCACUCCCCACUUCUAUAUUUGAUAGAAAGGCAUUAGUAGAACUCACUCACGAUAUGUGUGUGUUUUUAAUAGUUCAGGUCAAGGUCAAGGAUGGGGAACCAGUGGUCCUCCAGAUGUUGUUAGAUUAUAAUUCCCCACACCUAAGGCAGAUAGGAGCUGGACUGCAACAUACGGAGGACCACAGGCCCUCCCACCACUGGUUUAGGGCCACUAAAAGCUAGAUCUAUCAAAUACACACUUUCUGAAACAAUAUAGGGACCAAAACAUCCUUCAAAAUGGCAUUUAUCUGAUUUUUUAAUGCAGUUCCCCAACUGGAUAUAUUACGGCGAAUGUGCCUAAAGUAUUGAAAGUAUUGGUGAAAAUAAUAUACAGAAUGCAUUAUAUUAGGGGAGACUGCUUGCAAAAAUGUAUAUCUCCCUCAAAACAGCUUGUAAAAAGGUGUUGCUUAGGAGAAAAUGCAAAAUGUAUAUUAGGCAAAAAUGUAUGUAUUAGGAAUAUUUUCAUCAGCAUUUUUUAAUAAAAAAGAAAAAAGAAAAUGGCUGCAAAAUGAGUAAAACUGAAUUUAAGAUUUGAAAAACGAAAUAGGCAGAUCCUUCUAUCCCAAUACAUGGCAUGACAGGAAAGUGCAGCAAAGACCAGCUUCACGUGUACAGUGGAGUCUUUCCUACAUUGGUAACACUGUGUGAGAUUUUAAGGAGCAGUAGCAACAGCAGAGGCCUGAUAACAAUCCAAAAGCUGAGAGCCUCUCUCUCUCUGUGGUGUAGUGGUUAAGAGCAGUAGUCUCGUAAUCUGGUGAACUGGGUUCGCUUCCCCGCUCCUCCACAUGCAGCUGCUGGGUGACCUUGGGCCACUCACACUUCUUUGAAGUCUCUCAGCCCCACUCACCUCACAGAGUGUUUGUUGUGGGGGAGGAAGGGAAAGGAGAACGUUAGCCGCUUUGAGAAUCCUUAAAGGGAGUGAAAGGCGGCAUAUCAAAUCCAAACUCUUCUUCUUCUUCUUCUGUGUGUGUGUGUGUGUGUGUGUGUGCGCGCGCGCACACACAUAAUUUUAUUUAAAUUUUUACUUGGAGAUAACAAAGAUGAAAAUUAUAUAGAAAUAAAAAUAUAAAGAAAUAAUGUCCUACCUAGG